CCUACGGGGGGCAGCAGUGGGGAAUAUUGGACAAUGGGCGAAAGCCUGAUCCAGCCAUGCCGCGUGAGUGAAGAAGGCCCUAGGGUUGUAAAGCUCUUUCGCACGCGACGAUGAUGACGGUAGCGUGAGAAGAAGCCCCGGCUAACUUCGUGCCAGCAGCCGCGGUAAUACGAAGGGGGCAAGCGUUGUUCGGAUUUACUGGGCGUAAAGGGCGCGUAGGCGGAUUUGCAAGUCAGAGGUGAAAGCCCUGGGCUCAACCCGGGAAUGGCCUUUGAGACUGCAAGUCUUGAGUGCGGGAGAGGGUGGCGGAAUACCCAGUGUAGAGGUGAAAUUCGUAGAUAUUGGGUAGAACACCGGUGGCGAAGGCGGCCACCUGGCCCGCAACUGACGCUGAGGCGCGAAAGCGUGGGGAGCAAACAGGAUUAGAUACCCGAGUAGUC
rnacentral:rRNA from 1 species